AAAAGGUCGGGAUAGCUCAGUGGAGAGC
rnacentral:tRNA from 1 species